AUCUUUAAGAGUAGUGAUCAGGCGAUGGAACUUGCACGAAGCAAAAACGCAGAUAAAUUGAAUUCUGUAAAACGGGGAUGAAACUAAGCACGCGGUUGGUUACAGCGUCACAGACAUUGAAUUUAACGCAUCUGAUUGGCGUUUGUCUACGUCAUCAGUGCUUCAUGUGGUAGCAAUCGCAAUCUCGCGACAAGCCUGGGAGGCGUUUGGCACAUCAUAAGUUCAUAAAGUUUCGAGGUGGAAGGACGUGUUUUCGCGCCUCUGAAAUUCAACUUAUCGAGCUAAUUUUUUCGUAAAAUUAGUUUUAAUUUGUUGUACGUCUGAAAGAUUAGUUUGAUUGAUUCAUAUUCUGUUACUAUUCUUCGUAUUUGCCCACAGCAUAAAUUAAAUUGACAAAAUUGUUAAAGGUUAUAUCUUCAAACAGACAUCAGGUGGCCAUGUCGUCAUUUUUAAUGUUAUUUUAUUCGUCUUUGAAUGGUUUUUUAUUGCGUGUUUUUGUUUUAUUUCAUGUUUCAUUUAUUUAAUACGACUGUUUAAUUCUUUUUUUUAUCCAUUCUCCGCAUAUAUUUCGACUUUCAUUUGAGAAAAAGGAAGAAAGUGAAAAGGAUUAAAUAUUUAAAUUUUCUGCGUAACAGAUGUCUAUCAAAUUAAUUAGUUAAUAAUUGUUUUUGUCCGUUUACAUAGAUUAGCCAACGAUUGAUAGAGAUUGGAACUGAUAUCCUUUGCUUACUGAAAAGAAGUCGUCUCCUAUGGUGUUUUAGCUGUUAACUUUUCAUCUUGAAGGCUCUUGCAGUUAAUUAAGGAACAUUAAAAGAACUCCGGAUACCAUUAAAUUAUGAAAUUAUGGAGCAUUGGUUGUAUUAGUCCUCAUUUGCUCCGGAAAGUAGCUGUGCCCAUGGUUCUAAAGAAAGCAUGAAAGUGCCUUUUUUCCAUUGGGAACGAAGCUGUUAAAUUUUCAUCCUGGAUGCUCUUGUAGUUAAUUAAGGGAUGUUAGAAGAACUGCAGAUGUCAUUAAAUUAUGGAGCAUUGAUUGUGUCGGUUCUCAUUAACUCAAAAAAGUGACUGUUCCUAUGGUCAUUUAGAAAGCAUGAAAGUGCCUUUCCAUUGGGAACGGAGACAAUGUGCUGAAGAAGUGUGCUGCUGAAGGAGGGAUUUAUGACAGUAAACUUGUAUGUAAGAGUAUCAAUUAAAAUUAGUAAAUGAGGGUCCCAGGAACUUGAUUUCUUGGAGAUUUGUAACUUGCUUCAAUAGACAACUUUUCAGAAAUGAAAAAAGCAGAAUUAUUGUGGAACUCACCUUUCAAUCAAUGUGAAAGUUAACUUCUAACUUUACCACUAUAUCGCCACGUGAAAAUAUUACUUUUUUACUUUAUUUAAAAGUGAUAAUUACUUUUUCUUGCCUGUUUCUAUAUAGAUUGUCCCACAAAUGACAAAGAAUUGCAGUUAAUUUUGAUGCCACUGAAGCAACCGAUGCUUUUGAUGUCUUCACCUUGCAACGUUAUGCAGUUAAUUUUUGCCGUAACAACGGGAGGCAGUUGGAAAUUAAUUAAUUUGGAAGCGACUGGAACAACAAAUUGCCUGCAGUGGUAUCCCUCCUAGAUUUGGUUUGCUCAUCACACUGGUAGACUUUAGAACGCCGCUUUCUACAAUUAAUUAGAAGAAAGCAUUUAUCAUUGAUCAAUCUAUGGAUUUUCUAUUUAACAGUUUUCUAUCGUCUGCAUCGUAAAUUGAUGUCGUGAUAUUUGACAGUUAUCUAUGUCGCGUUCUAUGGUUGAGAUGUAAAAUGGCGUAAUGUUUGUUAUUUUAUUACUCAACUAUUUUACUUGCUUUUUGAAGCGUUUUUAUG